rnacentral:rRNA from 1 species
AAAGAAAGAUUAAUACCGGAUGGCAUAAUUAUUCCGCAUGGGAUAAUUAUUAAAGAAUUUCGGUUGUCGAUGGGGAUGCGUUCCAUUAGGCAGUUGGCGGGGUAACGGCCCACCAAACCUACGAUGGAUAGGGGUUCUGAGAGGAAGGUCCCCCACAUUGGAACUGAGACACGGUCCAAACUCCUACGGGAGGCAGCAGUGAGGAAUAUUGGUCAAUGGACGAGAGUCUGAACCAGCCAAGUAGCGUGAAGGAUGACUGCCCUAUGGGUUGUAAACUUCUUUUAUACGGGAAUAAAGUUAGCCACGUGUGGCUUUUUGUAUGUACCGUAUGAAUAAGGAUCGGCUAACUCCGUGCCAGCAGCCGCGGUAAUACGGAGGAUCCGAGCGUUAUCCGGAUUUAUUGGGUUUAAAGGGAGCGUAGGCGGGUUGUUAAGUCAGUUGUGAAAGUUUGCGGCUCAACCGUAAAAUUGCAGUUGAUACUGGCGACCUUGAGUGCAACA